UACGUAGGGUGCAAGCGUUAAUCGGAAUUACUGGGCGUAAAGCGUGCGCAGGCGGUUCUAUAAGACAGAUGUGAAAUCCCCGGGCUCAACCUGGGAACUGCAUUUGUGACUGUAGAGCUGGAGUGCGGCAGAGGGGGAUGGAAUUCCGCGUGUAGCAGUGAAAUGUGUAGAUAUGCGGAGGAACACCGAUGGCGAAGGCAAUCCCCUGGGCCUGCACUGACGCUCAUGCACGAAAGCGUGGGGAGCAAACAGG
rnacentral:rRNA from 1 species